rnacentral:rRNA from 1 species
CGCGGCCUAUCAGCUUGUUGGUGAGGUAAUGGCUCACCAAGGCGACGACGGGUAGCCGGCCUGAGAGGGUGACCGGCCACACUGGGACUGAGACACGGCCCAGACUCCUACGGGAGGCAGCAGUGGGGAAUAUUGCACAAUGGGCGAAAGCCUGAUGCAGCGGCGCCGCGUGAGGGAUGACGGCCUUCGGGUUGUAAACCUCUUUCAGUAGGGAAGAAGCGAAAGUGACGGUACCUGCAGAAGAAGCGCCGGCUAACUACGUGCCAGCAGCCGCGGUAAUACGUAGGGCGCAAGCGUUAUCCGGAAUUAUUGGGCGUAAAGAGCUCGUAGGCGGUUUGUCGCGUCUGCCGUGAAAGUCCGGGGCUCAACUCCGGAUCUGCGGUGGGUACGGGCAGACUAGAGUGAUGUAGGGGAGACUGGAAUUCCUGGUGUAGCGGUGAAAUGCGCAGAUAUCAGGAGGAACACCGAUGGCGAAGGCAGGUCUCUGGGCAUUAACUGACGCUGAGGAGCGAAAGCAUGGGGAGCGAACAGGAUUAGAUACCCUGGUAGUCCAUGCCGUAAACGUUGGGCACUAGGUGUGGGGGACAUUCCACGUUUUCCGCGCCGUAGCUAACGCAUUAAGUGCCCCGCCUGGGGAGUACGG